CCCAGACUCCUACGGGAGGCAGCAGUGGGGGAUAUUGCACAAUGGGGGGAACCCUGAUGCAGCGACGCCGCGUGGGUGAAGGAGCGUUUCGGCGCGUAAAGCCCUAUCGGCAGGGAAGAAGGAGGACGGUACCUGACUAAGAAGCCCCGGCUAACUACGUGCCAGCAGCCGCGGUAAUACGUAGGGGGCAAGCGUUAUCCGGAUUUACUGGGUGUAAAGGGGGCGCAGACGGCAGCGCAAGCCAGGAGUGAAAGCCCGGGGCCCAACCCCGGGACUGCUCUUGGAACUGCGCGGCUGGAGUGCAGGAGGGGCAGGCGGAAUUCCUGGUGUAGCGGUGAAAUGCGUAGAUAUCAGGAGGAACACCGGUGGCGAAGGCGGCCUGCUGGACUGCGACUGACGUUGAGGCCCGAAAGCGUGGGGAGCAAACAGGAUUAGAUACCCCCGUAGC
rnacentral:rRNA from 1 species